ACGCUAUCGCAUCCCCGCUCAAAUAGAUAAAAUCCCAAAUCAUGCGAAAGUAAGGAAGUGUCCUUCACUACUAACUCCCGAUGUUACGUUGUCGGCCGCCAACGUAACCCUCCGCGAAGUUAGAAGCCAUACAUUCCGAUCAAACUCCAACUUUUAGAGUUGUCAUAAACCCAAUCGAAAUACUUUCGCUCACAAGUCAAUUAGACCCCGUCUCUCACG
rnacentral:lncRNA from 1 species